ensembl:lncRNA
GCCAGUAUGAUAUCUGAAAGAGCUUUAACGGCAGUUUAACCGGUUCUGUUGUCCCACUUGAGCGAGGCCCCCUACUGAAAAGGCUGCUUCCUUCCUGCAACGUGGAGAGCUAUAACUCACCAGUGCCGGUUAGUGCUAUAGGGCAGGUCAUGGCAUGUGGGCAUAGCUGCGGUCUGUGUGCUCUGUAUUGAGGCAAGGCUAGUUGAACCAGUCUGUCCGUCCAUUGCUGGGAACCAGGAGUGAGUUAUGUGUAAGUGUGUGUGUGUGUGUGUGUGUGUGUGAUGAUAGAUUUGGAGGGCACCAUAUGCUGUGCGAACAUAUUUUGUUGUUUUUGUCACUUCCUCUCUGCAGGAUAACAGUUCUUUUUUGUUGAGGUUGUAAAGGAGUAACACCUAAUGCUAAGGUGUGUGGUGAAUGUGGAAAGGUGUGAGGGUUUCAUUUAGGCAGUUUUUUUGAUCAAUUUUGUGUAUGAUGUGUUUGUUCUGGUGAAAGUUGUUUGCUCUGGCUUAAGCCUUUUGUGUCGCUGUGACAAUCUUGCAAGAGGUGCAAAGGCUUGUUCUCACCUUCGCAGCGAUGUAUCUGGCGGCACAAAUCUUGAUGUUCAGUUACCUGUAAAUGGUCCACGUGGAGAGCUCCACAAAGCAGCGUAGCGUUUGACCACACCAUGUGCGGCCCCUUAGGAAUGCAAGCAUCUUGGAGUGCAAGCCGCAACAGGUUUAACCCACAUCGCCCUGUCAUCUGUGGGUCACAGGGAGCCUGGAGCCUAUCCCAGUGGACUUGGGGCACAAGGCAGGGGGACACCCUGGAUGUCAGGUGUGUCAGGAUGUCAGGUGCCAACCCAUUGUAGGGCACAAUCUCACACACACUACAGACAAUUUGGAAAUCAAUCUUUGGACUGGCGGAGGAAACCCGAGUACUCAGAGAAAACCCCCAAUGCACAAGGAGAACAUGCAAAGUCUGCGCACACAGGGCGGAGGUGGGAUUCGAACCCCAAUCCUGAAGGUGCGAGGCAAAUGUGCUAACCACUAAGCCAUGAUUAUUAUCCAUUUAAGUUUCUAAAGUAGCACAUUGUAUGUGUACUGUACCGUUAAUAAACAGUCAACUAAUCUUUUGCGAAUGUUCUGUGGCUCCAUACAAGUUUGAACUCUUUAGCAUGAAUGCCAAGUGCUACAUCAACAGAUCAUAACACAUAGGCAUCUUUGUAGAAAAAAAAAGUGAUCAGAACCUCACACAUGGUCGAAAGUUAACCUUUAGACAACAGAAACACACAGAGAAGACACGACUAUGAUCAUCCUUGAGUGGUCUAGACGGAGCUUGGUUUUUACCCAGUUGAAUGUUUCUGGAAAGACCUGGAGGUUCCUCUAAACAGACUGGAGGAAUAUCCUUGAAUUCAGGUGUGCCAAGCUCAUAGCAUCAGACUCAAAAAGACUGUAAUUACUGCCAAUACUGCUUUAACAAUGCAUUGAGUAAAGGGUCUGAAUAUUUGUUUCAAAUAUAUCUUUCACAGAUUCAGAAGGAAAAAAAAUGAAUGCAGUACAUUUCAGAGAAAAGAGUAAUGUAGGUGGAUACACCGUGCAUGUGUGUACAGUACCCUACAGCUGCAGAAGCACUUAACUUGCACUGCUGAUGAAGGACUUUUGUCUGAAACAUCUUGAUUCUCUGGUAACCUUGAGUACUUCAUUGAACUUUUACUACUUAUACCAUGUACUAACAAGGCUAUUUAAGGUCUUUGCUAUGGCUCUGUUGCUUUUCCUACUUGAGUUGUAUUUAGUAAUGUUGACCCUGAGUGUCUCAACAUGUUUUCCUGAUAAAUUAUUUUUUUUUUAAACAAAAUGUCUUUAUUUAUGCUAAUGAAUGCACACUGUUUUGUUCAUAUUCAUAAAUACGAGUGUGUGUAAAUCUGAAGUGGAUAUAUGCACUGGAGGUAUA